GAUGAACGCUAGCGGCAGGCUUAACACAUGCAAGUCGAGGGGUAACAGAAGAAGCUUGCUUCUUGCUGACGACCGGCGCACGGGUGCGUAACGCGUAUACAAUCUGCCUUACACUGGGGGAUAGCCUUUAGAAAUGAAGAUUAAAACCCCAUAGUCUGUAGAUGUGGCAUCACAAUUACAGUAAAGGUUACGGUGUAAGAUGAGUAUGCGUCCUAUUAGCUAGUAGGUGUGGUAACGGCACACCUAGGCAACGAUAGGUAGGGGCCCUGAGAGGGGGAUCCCCCACACUGGUACUGAGACACGGACCAGACUCCUACGGGAGGCAGCAGUGAGGAAUAUUGGUCAAUGGAGGCAACUCUGAACCAGCCAUGCCGCGUGCAGGAAGACUGCCCUAUGGGUUGUAAACUGCUUUUAUACAGGAAGAAACAUCUCUACGUGUAGAGACUUGACGGUACUGUAAGAAUAAGCAUCGGCUAACUCCGUG
rnacentral:rRNA from 1 species